GAGUUUGAUCCUGGCUCAGGACGAACGCUGGCGGCGCGCCUAACACAUGCAAGUCGAACGGGACUAUGCAAGAUGAAGUUUUCGGAUGGAAUUUUGUAUAGUUUAGUGGCGGACGGGUGAGUAACACGUGAGCAACCUGCCUUCGAGAGGGGAAUAACGGCUGGAAACGGUCGCUAAUACCGCAUAACAUACAGGAGGGACAUCCCUUUUGUAUCAAAGAUUUAUCGCUCGAAGAUGGGCUCGCGUCCGAUUAGGUAGUUGGUGAGGUAAUGGCCCACCAAGCCGACGAUCGGUAGCCGGACUGAGAGGUUGAACGGCCACAUUGGGACUGAGACACGGCCCAGACUCCUACGGGAGGCAGCAGUGGGGGAUAUUGCACAAUGGGGGAAACCCUGAUGCAGCGACGCCGCGUGUAGGAAGACGGUCCUCUGGAUUGUAAACUACUGUCCCCAGGGACGAAGAUGACGGUACCUGGGGAGGAAGCUCCGGCUAACUACGUGCCAGCAGCCGCGGUAAUACGUAGGGAGCGAGCGUUGUCCGGAAUUACUGGGUGUAAAGGGAGAGUAGGCGGGGAUGCAAGUUGGGUGUUAAAUCUACCGGCUC
rnacentral:rRNA from 1 species